rnacentral:rRNA from 1 species
GAUGAACGCUGGCGGCGUGCCUAAUACAUGCAAGUCGAGCGAACAGAUGAGGAGCUUGCUCCUCUGACGUUAGCGGCGGACGGGUGAGUAACACGUGGAUAACCUACCUAUAAGACUGGGAUAACUUCGGGAAACCGGAGCUAAUACCGGAUAAUAUAUUGAACCGCAUGGUUCAAUAGUGAAAGACGGUUUUGCUGUCACUUAUAGAUGGAUCCGCGCCGCAUUAGCUAGUUGGUAAGGUAACGGCUUACCAAGGCAACGAUGCGUAGCCGACCUGAGAGGGUGAUCGGCCACACUGGAACUGAGACACGGUCCAGACUCCUACGGGAGGCAGCAGUAGGGAAUCUUCCGCAAUGGGCGAAAGCUUGACGGAGCAACGCCGCGUGAGUGAUGAAGGUCUUCGGAUCGUAAAACUCUGUUAUUAGGAAGAACAAAUGUGUAAGUAACUAUGCACGUCUUGACGGUACCUAAUCAGAAAGCCACGGCUAACUACGUG